rnacentral:rRNA from 1 species
UACGGGGGGGGGUAAGCGUUGUUCGGAAUUACUGGGCGUAAAGGGCUCGUAGGCGGUCCAUCGCGUCGGGAGUGAAAAGCUGGGGCUUAACCCCAGUCCUGCUUCCGAUACGGGUGGACUAGAGGUAUGCAGGGGAGAACGGAAUUCCUGGUGUAGCGGUGAAAUGACGCAGAGUAUCAGGAGGAACACCGGUGGCGAAGGCGGUUCUCUGGGCAUUACCUGACGCUGAGGAGCGAAAGUGUGGGGAGCGAACAGG